rnacentral:rRNA from 1 species
CCUACGGGUGGCAGCAGUGAGGAAUAUUGGUCAAUGGUCGAGAGCCUGAACCAGCCAAGUCGCGUGAGGGAUGAAGGAACAAUGGUUUGUAAACUUCUUUUAUCUGGGAAUAAAGUGAGGAACGUGUUCCUUUUUGUAUGUACCAUAUGAAUAAGCAUCGGCUAACUCCGUGCCAGCAGCCGCGGUAAUACGGAGGAUGCGAGCGUUAUCCGGAUUUAUUGGGUUUAAAGGGUGCGUAGGUGGUUAAUUAAGUCAGCGGUGAAAGGUUGUGGCUCAACCAUAAAAUUGCCGUUGAAACUGGUUGUCUUGAGUAUAUGAGAGGUAGGCGGAAUGCGUGGUGUAGCGGUGAAAUGCAUAGAUAUCACGCAGAACUCCGAUUGCGAAGGCAGCUUACCGGCGGCGCUCUGACACUGAGGCACGAAAGCGUGGGUAUCGAACAGGAUUAGAUACCCGGGUAGUC